AGUGAACGCUGGCGGUAGGCCUAACACAUGCAAGUCGAACGGCAGCACAGUAAGAGCUUGCUCUUACGGGUGGCGAGUGGCGGACGGGUGAGGAAUACAUCGGAAUCUACUUUUUCGUGGGGGAUAACGUAGGGAAACUUACGCUAAUACCGCAUACGACCUACGGGUGAAAGCAGGGGAUCUUCGGACCUUGCGCGAUUCAAUGAGCCGAUGUCGGAUUAGCUAGUUGGCGGGGUAAAGGCCCACCAAGGCAACGAUCCGUAGCUGGUCUGAGAGGAUGAUCAGCCACACUGGAACUGAGACACGGUCCAGACUCCUACGGGAGGCAGCAGUGGGGAAUAUUGGACAAUGGGCGCAAGCCUGAUCCAGCCAUACCGCGUGGGUGAAGAAGGCCUUCGGGUUGUAAAGCCCUUUUGUUGGGAAAGAAAAGCAGCAUGUGAAUACCCCGCUGUUCUGACGGUACCCAAAGAAUAAGCACCGGCUAACUUCGUG
rnacentral:rRNA from 1 species